UGAAAUUGACGAAGUCACUUCCAAGAUGGUA
rnacentral:piRNA from 1 species